AAUAAUCUUAAGAUAAUCUAAUUUUGUAUUUCGGCUGACUUCACCUUAAAAUUAUUGUUUAUUUCUUCUUAAAAUAACGACGAUCAGGUUGCAUAAUUCUUGAGUAGGGAUUUAUUAUUUUACUAGACGGUACCAUUCACUUUGCUGUCGUAGAAAAAGUAAUUGUGGGAAAAUUGUUUUAAAAUUAAAUUCGAUAAUGAAAUUUGUAUGGAAAACGGAAGGAAGUCGUUGCUACAAUAAAAACCUCUGAAUAAACUAUUUCUAGAGAAUGGAGAAAUUAAGGGGACGGAAUAGCAUAUUUUCACAUUUGUUGCGAGACAGCAAUAAACAAUAACAUAUAAAAACUCAUUAUAACCCAACCUGACCCAAUCCAUACUGACCGACCGAAGCUUGCAUGAUACAGCAGAACCGUUUGCAAUUUGCUGUGUAUUAAGUAAUAAAUCAUCACAUCUGCGGAAUGUUUGAGGACAAAAAGCAUCGUUUGGAAUUCGCAAAACGCACAUACAUUGAAAGUCAGUGAUUUGAACCUGAAUAUGUUUGUUCAAUUUGCACUACUACAAUUAAAAAAUGGAGAUAUGAAAAACGCGACACGCGUCUUUUACCAAUAACGAUUCCGAUAGUUUGGCAUUAUCAGAAGAUCCAAGCAGGA